rnacentral:rRNA from 1 species
UACGUAGGGGGCAAGCGUUGUCCGGAAUCAUUGGGCGUAAAGCGCGUGUAGGCGGCUCGAUAAGUCUGCUGUGAAAGUCCAGGGCUCAACCCUGGGAUGCCGGUGGAUACUGUCGAGCUCGAGUCCGGAAGAGGCGAGUGGAAUUCCUGGUGUGGCGGUGAAAUGCGCAGAUAUCAGGAGGAACACCAAUGGCGAAGGCAGCUCGCUGGGACGUGACUGACGCUGAGACGCGAAAGCGUGGGGAGCAUACAGG